UUGCCGGUUCUACAGCGGCUAUCCCCACUAUGGAAGGCGCCGAUGCCCUUGAAGAUUAAGAUUUUCGUAUGGCAACUUCUCCGAGAUUGUCUACCUUCAGGGACUGAGGUGCUGAAACGCCAUGGUUCGGGCAAUGGCCUUUGCCCUUUGGUUCGGGAAACGGGAACACACAUUUUGUUCUCUUGUGUAGCAGCGCAUGCACUUUGGUGCUUUGUUCGGGAGGCUCUUGGACCGAAGUGGGAGGCCCA
rnacentral:rRNA from 1 species